rnacentral:rRNA from 1 species
AGAGUUUGAUCAUGGCUCAGGACGAACGCUGGCGGCGUGCUUAACACAUGCAAGUCGAACGGAAAGGCCCAGCUUGCUGGGUACUCGAGUGGCGAACGGGUGAGUAACACGUGGGUGAUCUGCCCUGCACUCUGGGAUAAGCCUGGGAAACUGGGUCUAAUACCGGAUAUGACCAACUGUCGCAUGGUGGUUGGUGGAAAGCUUUUGCGGUGUGGGAUGGGCCCGCGGCCUAUCAGCUUGUUGGUGGGGUAAUGGCCUACCAAGGCGACGACGGGUAGCCGACCUGAGAGGGUGAUCGGCCACACUGGGACUGAGACACGGCCCAGACUCCUACGGGAGGCAGCAGUGGGGAAUAUUGCACAAUGGGCGCAAGCCUGAUGCAGCGACGCCGCGUGAGGGAUGACGGCCUUCGGGUUGUAAACCUCUUUCACCAGGGACGAAGCGUGAGUGACGGUACCUGGAGAAGAAGCACCGGCCAACUACGUG